CUAGUCUCGACCGGUCGUUGCCAAUUUCAACGACCGGUUUUGACAGGCCGAUAU
rnacentral:ncRNA from 1 species